GAUGAACGCUGGCGGCGUGCCUAAUACAUGCAAGUCGAGCGAACGGACGAGAAUCUUGCUUCUCUGAUGUUAGCGGCGGACGGGUUAGUAACACGUGGAUAACCUACCUAUAAGACUGGGAUAACUUCGGGAAACCGGAGCUAAUACCGUAUAAUCUUUUUAACCGCAUUGUUCAAAAGUGAAAGACGGUCUUGCUGUCUCUUAUAGAUGGAUCCGCGCUGCAUUAGCUAGUUGUUAAGGUAACGGCUUACCAAGGCAACGAUGCAUAGCCGACCUGAGAGGGUGAUCGGCCACACUGGAACUGAGACACGGUCCAGACUCCUACGGGAGGCAGCAGUAGGGAAUCUUCCGCAAUGGGCGAAAGCAUGACGGAGCAACGCAGCGUGAGUGAUGAAGGUCUUCGGAUCGUAAAACUCUGUUAUUAGGGAAGAACAUAUGUGUAAGUAACUGUGCACAUCUUGACGGUACCUAAUCAGAAAGCCACGGCUAACUACGUG
rnacentral:rRNA from 1 species